GCCACCUCCAGCGCCCAGCAAACCCUAGCCCUCUCCCCUCCACGCCGCCGCCACCUACCUCCCUCUACCCUUUCUCUUUUCUCCUCCCUGUGAGCAAACGAAGGGGAAGAGCCUCACAGCACCAUCUCCACCUCGCCAUGGCGCCGUCACGUCAGGCCGCCCCUCGCCAAGCCGAGGGCACCGGAAGAACCGCAUCGUCGUCCUCUCCAUUCCCCCCAAAGGAAUCGACCCGAGACUCUCUAAGUCCCUGGCAAAUUCGCCGUUCCCCUCUCCUACCGACCGAACUCCGGCGUCAAUUCCGGCCGCCACGGUGCUCCCUCGUCGUUUCCGGGCAUGGAUUCGUCUUCCUGAUGCUCGUCGCCGGCGGCUGUCCGGUGAGCCCCUGGACCCGGCACCACCACCAUCAGGUUCCCCACGAUGAGGCGCAUCCCCGAAGCCAGGUCCCGCGUCCUGGUUCGUUUGGAAUAGAGAGAUCGAUGCUCACCUGCGAGCUCCACCAUGGUUGUUCUUCCCAGAGCUUCUGCGUCGGCCUGGUUCAAAAGGCUGCGCACCUCCGUUCGAUCAACAACAGAUGCAUCAGCCCAGUUGAUCUCCCGCAGUGGGCCUCAGCCCACUCGUCGUGAGCAUCUUCAUCGCACGGAGCGCGGCCGGUCGCUAUCCGCUGCCCAGCAUUUGCUUCUUCACGGAUAGGGACGCGAAGUGAUGUGGUGAGAUACGACGAGUCCUCCGGAUGUUCCCCGGCAAGCUUUAACAGGCAAGCAUUUCCCCUAUACUCCUGUCCCUGUAGGAGUCGCUCACCUAUUUUAUUUUGCCUUCUCCCUCAUGCUAUCCUUAAGUUGCGUUCUUGUCACGUGUCCUUUCCACUUGUUACCUCAAGCAGCCCAUAUUGCCACCACCACCUCCUACGGCUAUUGUUUGGUUAUCGAGUCUGCCCUUGCGAGUCGUAGUGCAUGCUAGUGCUGUUUUAUCUUGUUACCGUUGUUGUUAUCUUAUUGGAUUAUAUGUUGGGAAGAAUCAUGGUUACUUUAGUUGUUGAUAUUUGUUUAGCGGAGGCAUCGGUGGGUCAGCUGCUCGUUUUGUGACGGCUCACUUGUGUUUCCUAAAUAUCUUAGGACCCCGAGUUCUUGUUAUCUGUUCCGAGACUGAGCCCUCUAACCACACGUGGGUAUGCUUACCGGGUCUCCCCUCGACCACUACCGGAAUCUACAUCCUUGUCCAGUGGCCACAACUAGUUUGGAUGUUUGUUUUGUUUCUCCCGGGCGUGCAAGCAUGUUUCUUUGUGGUCGGAUGAUAUGAUGUUACUUUUGGGGAAGCCGUGAGUGCCUUGUAUCCCCGUUGUCUCUUGCACGCUCGUAGGUGCGGUCCGCAUUGUUAAGAGGUCAUCAUCUAGUGGGCUCUGAUCCUCUUAGCCGUUCUCGCAACAGCUAGGUCCGCGUCGGAGUUUCGAUCGGGCUCCGAAACGGGUUAACUUAGUUAGGUGGCUUCCUGGACAUUGUUGUAGUGAAGGAGAGUGCGUGUCGUGAUAUCCACCUAUCGUAAGUGGGUUGAUCGUGCGUGUGGGCACAUUUGGGCACCCCUGCAGGGUUACAAUCUUAUCGAUAAGCCGCGUCCGCGGUUAUGGACGACUUGGAGCUGUAUGACUCGACCAUAGACAACUUACACCUGUUGUUUCAAUCAUAACCACUUGAGUAUUAAGUUAGCACAACUGCAAUAAUAACUGGUUAAAACUUGACAACCGUGUGAGUGCCUUUGUAAGUACCUCUUUGCGAAGGGGGAACACAUCGGCUGUGUUAUGUUUGCAGAGUAUAGAACUGUUAGUUAUGCGCUCUCUCACCUUCUCUGAUUAGACGAAUGUUGUAGAGUGUCUCUAUAGGUUUUUAGUGCUUGCGCGCUGCCGCUUAACUCCACCAUAUUGCCUAUGACGUUUCUCUUGCGUCCUCUAAGUCCCCUGCGUGCCUCAAGUACAAAGGACGACUGGUUGACGAAUGCUUAUACGUCCUGAAGUCUUGUUAAGUACGAACCCGUACUUAUUGCUGCUUCUACGGGAUAUAACCGGGCAGGUAUGAAGGCAUGUUCGAUGAAGACGGUGUUAGCAAGGUUACCCUUCCGGCUUGGCCUGGGCAGGGUAAUGGACGCCAUCGUUAACUUCAGGACUCUUAGUCCAAUUUGUAUCUUGUCCGUACUCGGACGUUUUCGAUCUUCUGUAUGAUUUGGAUCUUUGUAUUGUAUUUUUGUAUCUUGACUCGAUGGAGUCGCUGUUGUAAUAUAUGUCUCUUGUGGGCUCUAUUGUAAUCCUGUUGUAAUGUUACCGCUCGUGUUAAUUCCUCUGGCAUCACGUGUGUGAUUCGUCGCGCAUGUUGUGUCGGAGGGCGUCUCCGAAUCGAUAUCGUGCGGAUUUUGGCGGGAUCGCUGGAAUCCUCAGGAUACCGGUUCCGGGGCGUCACAAAGAGUCCGGAAGUACACAUCAACACAACCCACGUUCGAUAUUUUGCUUACGGAAAUAUCAAGGAACAACGGGCUCACCGGCAGUCAUUACACCCGAAUAAUUCGGGAGUGGCUGUCGAAGCAUACAUCGGUUGAAGGCAAAGUUGCGCAUACAACGGGAUUAGCAAAACCCGCAACACGAGCUGAUCACUCAAAAGUUUUGCCGACCAACGAAAUACACGAACGACUAAACGAGCAAUUAAGAUUUGCUCCUUCAAAAUU